rnacentral:rRNA from 1 species
UGGGGAAUAUUGGACAAUGGGCGCAAGCCUGAUCCAGCCAUGCCGCGUGAGUGAUGAAGGCCCUAGGGUUGUAAAGCUCUUUCACCGGUGAAGAUAAUGACGGUAACCGGAGAAGAAGCCCCGGCUAACUUCGUGCCAGCAGCCGCGGUAAUACGAAGGGGGCUAGCGUUGUUCGGAUUUACUGGGCGUAAAGCGCACGUAGGCGGACUAUUAAGUCAGGGGUGAAAUCCCGGGGCUCAACCCCGGAACUGCCUUUGAUACUGGUAGUCUUGAGUUCGUGAGAGGUGAGUGGAAUUCCGAGUGUAGAGGUGAAAUUCGUAGAUAUUCGGAGGAACACCAGUGGCGAAGGCGGCUCACUGGCUCGAUACUGACGCUGAGGUGCGAAAGCGUGGGGAGCAAACAGG